rnacentral:rRNA from 1 species
CCUACGGGGUGCAGCAGUGGGGAAUUUUGGACAAUGGGGGCAACCCUGAUCCAGCCAUUCCGCGCGAGUGGAGAAGGCCUUCGGGUUGUAAAGCUCUUUUGUCCGGAACGAAACGGCUAGCGUGAAUAUCGCUGGCUACUGACGGUACCGGAAGAAUAAGCACCGGCUAACUACGUGCCAGCAGCCGCGGUAAUACGUAGGGUGCGAGCGUUAAUCGGAAUUACUGGGCGUAAAGCGUGCGCAGGCGGUUUUGUAAGCCAGAUGUGAAAUCCCCGGGCUUAACCUGGGAAUGGCAUUUGGGACUGCAAGGCUGGAGUUUGGCAGAGGAGACUGGAAUUCCCGGUGUAGCAGUGAAAUGCGUAGAUAUCGGGAGGAAUACCGAUGGCGAAGGCAGGUCUCUGGGCUAUAACUGACGCUCAUGCACGAAAGCGUGGGGAGCAAACAGGAUUAGAUACCCGCGUAGUC